AAACAUGUCUUAUUGAUAAAAAUAAUAAGUCGAUUUCUGCCCAUUGAAAUUAAAUUUAAAAGGCUGCGGUAUAUUAACUGUACAAAGGUAGCAAAAUAAAUAGUUUUUUAAUUGAAAACUUGAAUGAAAGAUUUGAUAAAAUAUAAAUUGUCUCAAAUUAAUGAUUAUAAAAUUUAAAUAAAAAGUUAAAAUGCUUUUAUAGAUUUAUUAGACGAUAAGACCCUAAGAAUUUAAUAAUUUAAUUAUUAUUAAUAAAUUUAAUGAAAAAUUUAAUAAAAAUUAAAAUAUUUUAUUGGGAGGAUAAUUAAAUUUAAACUUUAAUUUUAAAGAAAUAUUAUUAGAUAAAUUUUUAAUGAUUAAAAUAUUAAUUAUAAGAAUAAAUUACCUUAGGGAUAACAGCGUAAUAAUUUUGGAUAGUUCAUAUUGAUAAAAUUGUUUGCGACCUCGAUGUUGAAUUAAAAUAAAAAUUAAAUGAAGAUAUUUAAAUUUUUAGUCUGUUCGACUAUUAAAAUUUUACAUGAUCUGAGUU
rnacentral:rRNA from 1 species